UGAAUGUGACAUUGUACUACUCUGUCCUUU
rnacentral:piRNA from 1 species